UACGUAGGGUGCAAGCGUUAAUCGGAAUUACUGGGCGUAAAGCGUGCGCAGGCGGCUUUGCAAGACAGAUGUGAAAUCCCCGGGCUUAACCUGGGAACUGCAUUUGUGACUGCAUGGCUGGAGUGCGGCAGAGGGGGAUGGAAUUCCGCGUGUAGCAGUGAAAUGCGUAGAUAUCGCUUGGAACGCCAACGGUGAAAACAGGUUGCUGGGGGUGUGCUGACGCUGAGACACGAAAGCCAGGGGAGCGAACGGG
rnacentral:rRNA from 1 species